UACGUAGGGUGCAAGCGUUGUCCGGAAUUAUUGGGCGUAAAGAGCUUGUAGGCGGUUUGUCGCGUCUGCUGUGAAAUCUCAAGGCUCAACCUUGAGCUUGCAGUGGGUACGGGCAGACUAGAGUGUGGUAGGGGAGACUGGAAUUCCUGGUGUAGCGGUGAAAUGCGCAGAUAUCAGGAGGAACACCGAUGGCGAAGGCAGGUCUCUGGGCCAUAACUGACGCUGAGAAGCGAAAGCAUGGGGAGCGAACAGG
rnacentral:rRNA from 1 species